rfam:Daucus carota subsp. sativus cultivar DH1 chromosome 3, whole genome shotgun sequence.
GAAGGAAAUGAGGAGUUUAGUUCUUAUUGACUAGAUUGCCGAAAUGAUGGCAACAAUGAUGUAUUAGCUCUAUCUGAUCCUUC